CACCUGUUCCCAUGCCGAACACAGAAGUUAAGCUCCUUAGCGUCGAUGGUAGUCGAACUUACGUUCCGCUAGAGUAGAACGUUGCCAGGC
rnacentral:rRNA from 3 species